GCCUACGGGGGGCAGCAGUAGGGAAUCUUCCACAAUGGGCGAAAGCCUGAUGGAGCAACGCCACGUGGGUGAAGAAGGUCUUCGGAUCGUAAAACCCUGUUGUUAGAGAAGAAAGUGCGUGAGAGUAACUGUUCACGUUUCGACGGUAUCUAACCAGAAAGCACGGCUAACUACGUGCCAGCAGCCGCGGUAAUACGUAGGUGGCAAGCGUUAUCCGGAUUUAUUGGGCGUAAAGGGAACGCAGGCGGUCUUUUAAGUCUGAUGUGAAAGCCAUCGGCUUAACCGGAGUAGUGCAUUGGAAACUG
rnacentral:rRNA from 1 species